UAAAUACUAAUACCAGAUCGAUAGUGCACAAGUACCGUGAGGGAAAGGUGAAAAGAACUGAGGUGAUCAGAGUGAAAUAGAACCUGAAACCAUUUGCUUACAAUCAUUCAGAGCCCUAUGUAGCAAUACAGGGUGAUGGACUGCCUUUUGCAUAAUGAGCCUGCGAGUUGUGGUGUCUGGCAAGGUUAAGCAAACGCGAAGCCGUAGCGAAAGCGAGUCUGAAUAGGGCGCUUAGUCAGAUGCUGCAGACCCGAAACGAAGUGAUCUAUCCAUGAGCAAGUUGAAGCUAGUGUAAGAACUAGUGGAGGACUGAACCCAUAGGCGUUGAAAAGCCCCGGGAUGACUUGUGGAUAGGGGUGAAAGGCCAAUCAAACUUCGUGAUAGCUGGUUCUCUCCGAAAUAUAUUUAGGUAUAGCGUUGUGUCGUAAUAUAAGGGGGUAGAGCACUGAAUGGGCUAGGGCAUACACCAAUGUACCAAACCCUAUCAAACUCCGAAUACCUUAUAUGUAAUCACAGCAGUCAGGCGGCGAGUGAUAAAAUCCGUCGUCAAGAGGGAAACAACCCAGACUACCAGCUAAGGUCCCUAAAUCUUACUUAAGUGGAAAACGAUGUGAAGUUACUUAAACAACCAGGAGGUUGGCUUAGAAGCAGCCAUCCUUUAAAGAAAGCGUAAUAGCUCACUGGUCUAGUGAUUUUGCGCGGAAAAUAUAACGGGGCUAAAGUAAGUACCGAAGCUGUAGACUUGCGCACAACUUAGAUUAUUUAAGUUUAGAAUAUGAGAAACUAAGUUAUAUGUUUAGUUAUAUUUUUACUGAUUUUUAUAGAGUAAAGAUAGAAAUAAAACUUAGUAAAAUCAGUAAAAAUAUUCUUAGACUAAAGUUAAGUAGUUUAAGUUGUGUGCAAGUGGUAGGAGAGCGUUCUAUUUGCGUCGAAGGUAUACCGGUAAGGAGUGCUGGAGCGAAUAGAAGUGAGCAUGCAGGCAUGAGUAGCGAUAAUUAAUGUGAGAAUCAUUAACGCCGUAAACCCAAGGUUUCCUACGCGAUGCUCGUCAUCGUAGGGUUAGUCGGGUCCUAAGUCGAGUCCGAAAGGGGUAGACGAUGGCAAAUUGGUUAAUAUUCCAAUACCAACAUUAGUGUGCGAUGGAAGGACGCUUAGGGCUAAGGGGGCUAGCGGAUGGAAGUGCUAGUCUAAGGUCGUAGGAGGUUAUACAGGCAAAUCCGUAUAACAAUACUCCGAGAACUGAAAGGCUUUUUGAAGUCUUCGGAUGGAUAGAAGAACCCCUGAUGCCAUCGAGCCAAGAAAAGUUUCUAAGUUUAGCUAAUGUUGCCCGUACCGUAAACCGACACAGGUGGGUGGGAUGAGUAUUCUAAGGCGCGUGGAAGAACUCUCUUUAAGGAACUCUGCAAAAUAGCACCGUA
rnacentral:rRNA from 1 species